rnacentral:rRNA from 1 species
GUAGGGUGCAAGCGUUAAUCGGAAUUACUGGGCGUAAAGCGUGCGCAGGCGGGUUUGUAAGUCUGACGUGAAAUCCCCGGGGCUUAACCUGGGAAUUGCGUUGGAGACUGCAAGGCUGGAGUCUGGCAGAGGGGGGUAGAAUUCCACGUGUAGCAGUGAAAUGCGUAGAGAUGUGGAGGAACACCGAUGGCGAAGGCAGCCCCCUGGGUCAAGACUGACGCUCAUGCACGAAAGCGUGGGGAGCAAACAGGAUUAGAUACCCUGGUAGUCCACGCCCUAAACGAUGUCUACUAGUUGUCGGGUCUUAAUUGACUUGGUAACGCAGCUAACGCGUGAAGUAGACCGCCUGGGGAGUACGGUCGCAAAGAUUA